rfam:Trichobilharzia regenti genome assembly, scaffold: TRE_scaffold0075124
GUACUGCUGAAGAGUCCCAAACUAGGACGGAGGAAACAGCUAUCCAGUAC